rnacentral:rRNA from 1 species
AGAGUUUGAUCAUGGCUCAGGAUGAACGCUGGCGGCGUGCCUAAUACAUGCAAGUCGGACGGGCCUAUUCGGCGAAGCGGGGCUUCGGCUUCGUGGAGUUGAGUAGGUCAGUGGCGAAUGGGUGAGUAACACGUGGGUGACCUGCCCUCAAGUGGGGAACAACCAGUGGAAACGCUGGCUAAUUCCGCAUGUGAUUUAUCAUUCGGUUGAUAAAUUAAAGACGAAAGUCGCUUGAGGAGGGGCCCGCGGUCGAUUAGCUUGUUGGUGAGGUAAUGGCCCACCAAGGCUUUGAUCGGUAGCUGGUCUGAGAGGAUGAUCAGCCACACUGGCACUGACAUACGGGCCAGACUCCUACGGGAGGCAGCAGUAAGGAAUAUUGCGCAAUGGGCGAAAGCCUGACGCAGCAACGCCGCGUGGGUGAUGAAGGUUUUCGGAUCGUAAAACCCUUUUCUGGAAGACGAGUAAGGACGGUACUCCAGGAAUAAGAUUCGGCUAACUACGUGCCAGCAGCCGCGGUAAAACGUAGGAAUCGAGCGUUAUCCGGAUUUACUGGGCGUAAAGCGCGUGUAGGCGGAACUUUAAGUCGGACGUGAAAGCUCCUAGCUUAACUGGGAGAGGUCGUUCGAUACUGAGGUUCUAGAGAGCAGAAGAGGAGAGUGGAAUUCCCGGUGUAGUGGUGGAAUGCGCAGAUAUCGGGAGGAACAUCAGUGGCGAAGGCGACUCUCUGGUCUGUUUCUGACGCUGAGACGCGAAAGCGUGGGGAGCGAACGGGAUUAGAUACCCCGGUAGUCCACGCCCUAAACAUUGCGGACUAGGCGUGGGUGGUAUUGACCCCAUCCGUGCCGAAGCUAACGCGUUAAGUCCGCCGCCUGGGGACUACUGCCGCAAGGCUAAAACUCAAAUGAAUUGACGG